CCUACGUGUGGCUGCAGUGAGGAAUAUUGGUCAAUGGCCGGAAGGCUGAACCAGCCAUGCCGCGUGAAGGUCAGUGCCCUAUGGGCGUUAAACUUCUUUUGUGCGGGAGCAAUAAUGGUCACGUGUGGCCAGACGAGAGUACCGUACGAAUAAGCAUUGGCUAACUCCGUGCCAGCAGCCGCGGUGAUACGGGGGAGGCAAGCGUUAUCCGGAUUUAUUGGGUUUAAAGGGUUGGUAGCCUGGGGGGUAAGUCAGCGGUGAAAUGCCCCCGCUCAACGGGGUGAAGUGCCAUUGAUACUGCCUGGCUGGAAUGCGGAUGCGGUGGGAGGAAUGUGUGGUGUAGCGGUGAAAUGCAUAGAUAUCACACAGAACACCGAUUGCGAAGGCAUCUCACGAAUCCGCGAUUGACGCUGAUGCACGAAAGCGUGGGUAUCAAACAGGAUUAGAUACCCCUGUAGUC
rnacentral:rRNA from 1 species